UGAAUUUUCAAGGAAAUUAAGUGAAAAAGGUGGUGUGCCCUUCGACAAAGGCAAGGAAAUUACGCCUGGGGAUCACUAAGCUGAGUACACCCGAAAUCUGAACUUUUGAAACCUGCCGGGUUAGCCUGUAGAUAGCAAACAUCGUCGAGAACUAUAGUUGGCCAUACUACUU